GUACGGGGCUGCUCACGAGAGAAGUUCCAGUGCUACGGACGGUCCUUGUAGAUCAUGCCAAUGAUUUUCCGCUUCCAAAUUUUGUACGGUUGUUGGCCAAAAUUGGAGGAUAAAAUUGUGCUCUACAUCAGCUGCUUGGUCACAACUUGGACAGUUGAGCUUGACUGAAGACCAGCAGCUGCACAUGGCUGGAGUAGUUGGCCCAUGACAGGAGUUUGCACUGUUGUAUUUGUGCCAUGGCUGCUGUUUGUAUGAGAACAAAUGCAAGUAUUGGUUGCGAAUGAAUUGCUGAACAAAUGCAAGUAACAGUUCUGCAGAUUAUCCUAAUGUGUCCAUGUCAGCCUUGUUACCCAACUCUCGUUCAUCCAAAUACAACCGAUUUUCUUGCUCCGAUGGUCCAAGCAGAUGGCCAGUCAA